rnacentral:rRNA from 1 species
GACGAACGCUGGCGGCGUGCUUAACACAUGCAAGUCGAACGAAGAGCGAUGGAAGCUUGCUUCUAUCACUCUUAGUGGCGCACGGGUGAGUAACGCGUAAUCAACCUGCCCUUCAGAGGGGGACAACAGUUGGAAACGACUGCUAAUACCGCAUACGAUCUAAUCUCGGCAUCGAGGAUAGAUGAAAGGUGGCCUCUACAUGUAAGCUAUCACUGAAGGAGGGGAUUGCGUCUGAUUAGCUAGUUGGAGGGGUAACGGCCCACCAGGCGAUGAUCAGUAGGCGGUCUGAGAGGAUGAACGGCCAAAUUGGGACUGAGACAAGGCCCAGAAUCCUACGGGAGGCAGCAGGGGGGAAUCUUCCGGAAUGGACGAAAGGCUGACGGAGCAACGCCGCGUGAGUGAUGACGGCCGUCGGGUUGGAAAGCUCUGUUAAUCGGGACGAAAGGCCUUCUUGCGAAUAGUGAGAAGGAUUGACGGUACCGGAAUAGAAAGCCACGGCUAACUACGUG